rnacentral:rRNA from 1 species
AUUGAACGCUGGCGGCAGGCCUAACACAUGCAAGUCGAGCGGAUGAAGGGAGCUUGCUCCUGGAUUCAGCGGCGGACGGGUGUGUAAUGCCUAGGAAUCUGCCUGGUAGUGGGGGAUAACGUCCGGAAACGGGCGCUAAUACCGCAUACGUCCUGAGGGAGAAAGUGGGGGAUCUUCGGACCUCACGCUAUCAGAUGAGCCUAGGUCGGAUUAGCUAGUUGGUGGGGUAAAGGCCUACCAAGGAGACGAUCCGUAACUGGUCUGAGAGGAUGAUCAGUCAAACUGGAACUGAGACACGGUCCAGACUCCUACGGGAGAGAGCGGUGGGGAAUAUUGGACGAUGGGCGAAAGCCUGAUCCAGCCAUGACGCGUGUGUGAAGAAGGUCUUCGGAUUGUAAAGCACUCUAAGUUGGGAGGAAGGGCAGUAAGUUAAUACCUUGCUGUUUUGACGUUACCAACAGAAUAAGCACCGGCUAACUUCGUG